rnacentral:misc_RNA from 1 species
AAAAUGCGAUAAGUAGUGUGAAUUGCAGAAUUCAGUAAAUCAUCAAAUCUUUAAACGCACAUUGCGCCCUAUAGUAUUCCGUAGGGCAUGCCUGUUCGAGCGUCAUUUAAACCUUCAAGCUCUGCUUAGUGUUAGGCGUCUGUCCUGCCUUACGGCGCGGACUCGCCUUAAAUCUAUUAGCGGCCGGUACGUUGGCUUCGAGCGCAGCAGAAACGCGAACUCGAGCCCAACAGAUCAGCUCCUAGAAGCUACCCCUAUAAAUUUGACCUCGGAUCAGGUAGAGAUACCCGCUAAACUUAA